GAUGAACGCUGGCGGCGUGCCUAAUACAUGCAAGUCGAGCGAACAGACGAGGAGCUUGCUCCUCUGACGUUAGCGGCGGACGGGUGAGAAACACGUGGAUAACCUACCUAUAAGACUGGGAUAACUUCGGGAAACCGGAGCUAAUACCGGAUAAUCUAUUGAACCGCAUGGUUCAAUAGUGAAAGACGGUUUUGCUGUCACUUAUAGAUGGAUCCGCGCCGCAUUAGCUAGUUGGUAAGGUAAAGGCUUACCAAGGCAACGAUGCGUAGCCGACCUGAGAGGGUGAUCGGCCACACUGGAACUGAGACACGGUCCAGACUCCUACGGGAGGCAGCAGUAGGGAAUCUUCCGCAAUGGGCGAAAGCCUGACGGAGCAACGCCGCGUGAGUGAUGAAGGUCUUCGGAUCGUAAAACUCUGUUAUUAGGGAAGAACAAAUGUGUAAGUAACUAUGCACGUCUUGACGGUACCUAAUCAGAAAGCCACGGCUAACUACGUG
rnacentral:rRNA from 1 species